UGGAGUCCAGUAAUCCAAAGAUGUAGCC
rnacentral:piRNA from 2 species